rnacentral:rRNA from 1 species
CCUACGGGUGGCAGCAGUGGGGAAUAUUGGGCAAUGGAGGCAACCCUGAACCAGCAACGCCGCGUGAAUGAUGAAGGUCUUCGGAUUGUAAAAUUCUUUUCUAAGGGAAGAAGAAAGUGACGCUUCCUUAGGAAUAAGCGUCGGCUAACUAAGUGCCAGCAGCCGCGGUACUACGGAGGCGGCAAUCGUUAUCCGGAAUGACUGGGCGUAAAGGGUGCGUAGGUGGUUUGACAAGUCAGUAGUGAAAGUCCGGAGCUCAACUUCGGAACUACUACUAAAACUGUUGGUCUUGAGUGCAGGAGGGGUAGGCGGAAUUCUUAGUGUAGCGGUGGAAUGCGUAGAUAUUAGGAGGAACACCAGUGGCGAAGGCGGAUUGCUAGACUGUAACUGACACUGAGGCACGAAAGCGUGGGGAGCAAACAGGAUUAGAUACCCUUGUAGUC